UACGAAGGGGGCUAGCGUUGUUCGGAAUUACUGGGCGUAAAGGGCGCGUAGGCGGUGUGUCAAGUCAGGCGUGAAAGCCCCGGGCUCAACCUGGGAACAGCGCUUGAGACUGGCACGCUCGAGUUCGGGAGAGGAUGGUGGAAUUCCCAGUGUAGAGGUGAAAUUCGUAGAUAUUGGGAAGAACACCGAUGGCAAAGGCAGCCAUCUGGACCGACACUGACGCUGAGGCGCGAAAGCGUGGGGAGCAAACAGG
rnacentral:rRNA from 1 species